GAUGAACGCUGGCGGCGUGCCUAAUACAUGCAAGUCGAGCGAACAGACGAGGAGCUUGCUCCUCUGACGUUAGCGGCGGACGGGUGAGUAACACGUGGAUAACCUACCUAUAAGACUGGGAUAACUUCGGGAAACCGGAGCUAAUACCGGAUAAUAUAUUGAACCGCAUGGUUCAAUAGUGAAAGACGGUUUUGCUGUCACUUAUAGAUGGAUCCGCGCCGCAUUAGCUAGUUGGUAAGGUAACGGCUUACCAAGGCGACGAUGCGUAGCCGACCUGAGAGGGUGAUCGGCCACACUGGAACUGAGACACGGUCCAGACUCCUACGGGAGGCAGCAGUAGGGAAUCUUCCGUAAUGGGCGAAAGCUUGACGGAGCAACGCCGCGUGAGUGAUGAAGGUCUUCGGAUCGUAAAACUCUGUUAUUAGGGAAGAACAAAUGUGUAAGUAACUAUGCACGUCUUGACGGUACCUAAUCAGAAAGCCACGGCUAACUACGUG
rnacentral:rRNA from 1 species